CGCUCCUUAGCUUAGUUGGUUAAGCGAUUGUCUAGCGUAUGAGGGUCGUGAGUUCAAAUCUCACCUGAGCCA
rnacentral:tRNA from 1 species